AAUAACCUUCUGUGGCGUAAUUUUAAAGCCUAUAAUAUUAAUUCAGGGGACUGUCCCUGGUGGUGGUGUGUUAUGCUUAGCUAUGUCUAAGAAACCUAAAACUAUCAUAUGGUCGCCCACUUAAAGCAAAGGCUUUAAGAAAACCACAGAAGGUAUUUU
rnacentral:other from 1 species